rnacentral:misc_RNA from 1 species
GUAAAAUGGGCUCGAUAUUCCAGUAUUUAGUAGCUUCCGUCAAUUCAGACUCUACAUCUUGUCCCUUUAGAAAGAGUGCCUUCGCGCCUCGUUGCACCAAGGGUUCUGCAUAGCCCAGCAACAUAUGUAGUGGAGCCACCGCGCGCGCUGUGACGCAAUCUAUCGGCGCCUUUGAGCUAUCCACAUAAUCCCCGAUGUCGGCGAGGAUAACCGAGCCGGCCGCACCGGUGACCCGCAGCGCUUCGCGCAGGAACGCCGCCUUCUUGGCGAUUCGUUCGACAAGCUGGACGGACGCG